rnacentral:rRNA from 1 species
GAUGAACGCUGGCGGCGUGCCUAAUAUAUGCAAGUCGAGCGAACAGACGAGGAGCUUGCUCCUUUGACGUUAGCGGCGGACGGGUGAGUAACACGUAGGUAACCUACCUAUAAGACUGGGAUAACUUCGGGAAACCGGAGCUAAUACCGGAUAAUAUUUCGAACCGCAUGGUUCGAUAGUGAAAGAUGGCUUUGCUAUCACUUAUAGAUGGACCUGCGCCGUAUUAGCUAGUUGGUAAGGUAACGGCUUACCAAGGCAACGAUACGUAGCCGACCUGAGAGGGUGAUCGGCCACACUGGAACUGAGACACGGUCCAGACUCCUACGGGAGGCAGCAGUAGGGAAUCUUCCGCAAUGGGCGAAAGCCUGACGGAGCAACGCCGCGUGAGUGAUGAAGGUCUUCGGAUCGUAAAACUCUGUUAUUAGGGAAGAACAAACGUGUAAGUAACUGUGCACGUCUUGACGGUACCUAAUCAGAAAGCCACGGCUAACUACGUG